AAUCAACGCUGGCGGCGUGCCUAACACAUGCAAGUCGAGCGAGAAAAGGGGAGCAAUCCCCUGAGUACAGCGGCGCACGGGUGAGUAACACGUGGGUAAUCUGCCCUAGAGUGGGGAAUAACACCGGGAAACCGGUGCUAAUACCGCAUACGAUCACAAGAUCUGCGGAUUUUGUGAUGAAAGGAGCAAUUCGCUCUGGGAGGAGCCCGCGGCUGAUUAGCUAGUUGGUGAGGUAACGGCUCACCAAGGCAACGAUCAGUAUCCGGUCUGAGAGGACGGUCGGACACACUGGAACUGAGACACGGUCCAGACUCCUACGGGAGGCAGCAGUGGGGAAUUUUUGGCAAUGGGGGCAACCCUGACCAAGCAACGCCGCGUGGGUGAUGAAGUCUCUUGGGACGUAAAACCCUUUCGACGGGGACGAAACCGCAAGGUUGACGGUACCCGUAGAAGAAGCCCCGGCUAACUCCGUGCCAGCAGCCGCGGUAAUAC
rnacentral:rRNA from 1 species